rnacentral:rRNA from 1 species
UUCUUCACGGAGAGUUUGAUCCUGGCUCAGGACGAACGCUGGCGGCGUGCUUAACACAUGCAAGUGGAGCGACGAAGGGCCUUCGGGCCUGGCAGAGCCGCGAACGGGUGAGUAACACGUGGGUAACCUGCCCCGAUGAUUGGGACAACCCGACGAAAGUCGGGCUAAUACCAAAUGUGCUUUCUACUCCCAAGAGUAGUCAGGAAAGGAAGCUUCGGCCUCCGCAUCGGGAUGGGCCCGCGGCGCAUUAGCUUGUUGGUGGGGUAACGGCCUACCAAGGCGACGAUGCGUAGCUGGUCUGAGAGGACGAUCAGCCACACUGGAACUGAGACACGGUCCAGACUCCUACGGGAGGCAGCAGUGGGGAAUCUUGCGCAAUGCGCGAAAGCGUGACGCAGCAACGCCGCGUGUGGGAAGACGGCCUUCGGGUUGUAAACCACUUUCAGUUGGGACGAAGGGUAG